rnacentral:lncRNA from 10 species
AGAGUGGGAGGACAUUCCCAGGAUAAGAGCACAGAAGGAGAAUAGGACACUAGUUACAAAGAGGAGAUUAGUCAAAUAAGUAACUUAUUAAGGAUAAUGAAAGCCAGGUUUCCCAUUGUUGGAGGAGGGAGUCACAAAUAUUGAAACAGAAAUCUGGAAUGAACCCUGUAGUUGUCCAGUUGAAAUUGGAAGUAUCUAAAUGAUGUUAUGGUCUUCAAUAUAUUUAUAUAGAUAUAGGAAUAAAUAUAGCAAUGUGUGCAUGCAUACAUACAUACAUAUUGUAGAAGGUAGAAUAGUAGACCCCCAAAGAUUCCUGUAUCCUAAUUUCCAAAACCUGUGAACAUGUUACCUUACAUGGCAAAAGGGACUUUGCAGGUAAGAUUAAGUCAAGAACCUUGAGAUAAGGUUAUCCUGGAUUAUCUGGGUGGGUCCAAUAUAAUAACAAGAGUCCUUAUAAGAGGGAGGCAGAGGGCGGGCACUGUGGCUUACACCUAUGAUCCCAGCACUUUGGGAGGCCGAGAUGGGAGAAUCGCUUGAGCCUAGGAGUUUGAGACCAUCCUGGACAACAUGGUGAAACCCCAUCCCUACUAAAAAUACAAAAAUUAGCCUUGCAUGGUGGCGCACGCCUAUAGUCCCAGCUACUAGGGAAGCUGUGCUGGGAGGAUCACCUGAGCCUGGGAGGUAGAGGCUGCAAUGAGCUGUGAUUAUAGCACUGCACUCCAACCUGGGCAAUGG